rnacentral:rRNA from 1 species
CGGUGUUCAACUGGCGUGUCCGCGGGACGUCCUGCCGGUGGGCUUAGCCCGCAAGGGCGGCCCAACUUCAAAUCCCAUCGCGGUGCUCUUCACUGAGUGUCGAGGUGGGCCGGCACGUUUACUUUGAACAAAUUAGAGUGCUUAAAGCAGGCUAAAACUUCGCCUGAAUACUGUGUGCAUGGAAUAAUGGAAUAGGACCUCGGUUCUAUUUUGUUGGUUUUCGGAACCCCGAGGUAAUGAUUAAUAAGAACGGAUGGGGGCAUUCGUAUUGCGACGUUAGAGGUGAAAUUCUUGGAUCGUCGCAAGACGGACAGAAGCGAAAGCAUUUGCCAAAAACGCUUUCAUUGAUCAAGAACGAAAGUUAGAGGUUCGAAGGCGAUCAGAUACCGCCCUAGUUCUAACCAUAAACGAUGCCAGCUAGCGAUCCGUCGACGUUCCUCCGAUGACUCGACGGGCAGCUUCCGGGAAACCAAAGCUUUUGGGUUCCGGGGGAAGUAUGGUUGCAAAGCUGAAACUUAAAGGAAUUGACGGAAGGGCACCACCAGGAGUGGAGCCUGCGGCUUAAUUUGACUCAACACGGGAAACCUCACCAGGCCCGGACACCGGAAGGAUUGACAGAUUGAGAGCUCUUUCUUGAUUCGGUGGGUGGUGGUGCAUGGCCGUUCUUAGUUGGUGGAGCGAUUUGUCUGGUUAAUUCCGAUAACGAACGAGACUCUAGCCUGCUAACUAGGCGUAUUUUCGACAUCUCAAAGGUCCGUCGUCCCGGCCCUCGGGUCGUGGGCGUGCGCGAUUUUUACUGUCGGCGUACUAUCAAUUCUUCUUAGAGGGACAGGUGGCUUCUAGCCGCACGAGAUUGAGCAAUAACAGGUCUGUGAUG